UAGCGGUGGACGGUGGUGCGCCAUGUUUAUUUCAAGCUCUUGUUUGAAUAGAUGUUUAUUUUGCAAUUUAAUUUAAAUUCCGAUUUUCAGUAGUUCAGUGACGGUGAAAGACGUGCAUUAGAAAACCUUAGAAAACAAGCGACUGGAGGAACUGGGUGCUAAUCGAGUGUUUUAGCUGGGACUCGCAAACGAUGAUGCCAAUAUUGAAGAUAAUUUUAUGGAUUUUAUUACCUGGAAGGACAAGUUUUGAUCAACAGUUUGUGCUCACUUCGGAAUCGAAAACUCCGGUGAAGAGGUGAUGAUGCGGUAGUAUGCUUGCUGGAACAGCUAGAGACUCCAGCGGAACGGUUGUACACCAGCGAGGUGGCUCGGCUGCAUUCACUACAAAUACCAAGGACCACCAUUCGAUGCGAAAAAUUUUUUCCUUGUCACGAUCAAGAUUAAUCGAGAGCUGCACAAGGCAGGCGGUCAUUCUUGCACGCACAUAGUGUUUACCACCGCAGGUUCCAAGAUACGCUGGCCACUUGGCCAUGAAUUUAUUGCACCCGAGAUUUAAAUAUGUCGAGAAAAAGUACACCAAACGUGAAUUCUUCUUUCGAUGAUCGAGGGCGUCCAUGGGCGUCCUGCAGACGGAACGGGUCCGUGAAAGCUGUGAAAAUGGCCACCUCUAUUUCCUCGUCCCCAUCUUCUAUUUGCAAUGCUUUCGACAAUAAGCAACAUCUGGUGAAAGCAGUACCGCCACAAGCAAUUUUCCCGCACUCGCAC